rnacentral:lncRNA from 1 species
CGCAGCCAAUGGCGGAGGGGCGGGCGGAGGUGACAGGCGGCGGCGGGGCCUGCGCGCUGAGGGGCGCGCUGCGGCGCCGGGGGAGCCCGCCGCCCUACGGGAGCCCGCCGAGCCCAGGGGAGCCCUCCCCUCUGAGGGGAGCCCGCCGCCCUCCCCCUUGAGGGGAGCCCUUCUCCUCGCCGUGCGCGCUCGCCCGCCUCUUUUCUUUGCCCUUUAGCCCAAAAUGCACCUUUUUCAUUCUUUCUGCAAAGCAAAUAAAUAAAUGACAUCUAUAUCGUUCCCCUCAAAUGAGGGCUUCGGCGGUGCAGGCUGGCUGCCGGGCUGGCACCCCGCUCUCCCCUUUGUCUCUCGCUUUCUGCGAGAUGCUUUCAGCCUCGUCCGUGAUUGCGAGCCACAGGGGGAAUCGAGACCUGCCACGACAACCACGGGAUUUUAAUUCGUUUCGCCUCGCAGUCUCGGUGCCUUGGGUGGAAGCUUACGGACCUCCCCACAGCUGCUGAGGAGCUUUUAUUUCCGAAAAGCCAUGAAAUUACACCUGAUGUAGCGUGCACGGUACGCCGCGCGCAUGCAAAGCAGCGCUCAGCACGCAGGCGGGGAGGAGCGCCCUCACAGCCCCUUCUGGCGUUACCAUAGCGCUAUUGCAGAUGGCUGGGAGAAUGAAGAGCACGUGGUGGAAAGAAGUCUGAGAGGAGAAAAGCACCCAUCCUGCUGUGGCAGAGAGCCCUGGGAGGCUGUAACAAGAGGAACCCCAAGGCUCGUGGCCACAAGACUGCAGACUGCCACUCCAGGGAAUUCUGAAUACCAUCACACCAGCCUGAGCCAGGAGGUAGGCUUUUCUGGCUUCCUUCUUCCCCUUUUUUCUCCCCUGCCCAAGACCUUCAUGGAAACCUCCAUCAAGAUGGCAUGUUAAAAUGGAAAUAUAAUCAAAAAAUUGAACCCACCGAGCAAAAGGAGCAAGUGUGUAGAUUUGUUUUGUAAAUUUUCCUUUGCAUUUAUGUAAAUGCUACCUUUUUUACCUUUUUUCUUCUAUAACAUUGCUAAUUCCUAUGCAGCUCCUUUAGCAAAUAUAUUUAAAACCCAAU